rnacentral:rRNA from 1 species
AUGUCAGACCAAAGUGACAGCCAGAACUUGUCAGAGCGGCAAGUACAGUUGAGUGAGGGCACUAGUCCCUCAAGUUCCUCAGAUGAUGGCAGCGGGAGCACCCCCAGCAAUCUGCCUAAAGCUGCCACACGUCAGAGAAAGAAGAGAACCUCAGACUCAGAAGAUGAGGAUUAUGUGGCAGAGGAGGAAGCCACCUCCAAAAGAGUUGAGCCAGCUCAAGGCACAAAGCCAGGGCUGAAGAUCAAAAGGCCAGCAGGCAGGCAGCCUAUGUCAAAGGCUAGAGCUUCAACUGAGAAGCCUGCACCCACAGAGCCAGUUGCUACUGAAGGCAAAAAGAGGAAAGAAAGAGUAAAAAAACUGUAG